rnacentral:rRNA from 1 species
GGGGUGCAGCAGGCGCGAAAACUUUACAAUGCUGGCAACAGCGAUAAGGGGACCUUGAGUGCCAGGAUACAAUCCUGGCUGUCGUGAUGCCUAAAAAGCAUUAUAUAGCAAGGGCCGGGCAAGACCGGUGCCAGCCGCCGCGGUAACACCGGCGGCUCGAGUGGUAACCGCUAUUAUUGGGUCUAAAGGGUCUGUAGUCGGCUUGGUUAGUCUCUUGGGAAAUCCGGCAGCUUAACUGUCGGGCUUUCAGGAGAUACUGCCAGGCUCGAGACCGGGAGAGGUGAGAGGUACUUCAUGGGUAGGGGUGAAAUCUUGUAAUCCUUGAAGGACCACCAGUGGCGAAGGCGUCUCACCAGAACGGAUCUGACGGCAAGGGACGAAAGCUAGGGGCACGAACCGGAUUAGAUACCCGGGUAGUCCUAGCCGUAAACGAUACUCGCUAGGUGUCGGCCACGGUGCGACCGUGGUCGGUGCCGUAGGGAAGCCGUGAAGCGAGCCACCUGGGAAGUACGGCCGCAAGGCUGAAACUUAAAGGAAUUGGCGGGGGAGCAC